rnacentral:SRP_RNA from 1 species
GGAGGUUGGCGGCAGACGUGUCUCUCGCCAACCGGGUCAGAUCCGGAAGGAAGCAGCCCUAACGAGUUCGGCGCGGGUUGCGUGUCCAGCCUCCCAC